rnacentral:rRNA from 1 species
UGCAUCGGAACGUGCCCAUCGGAUGGGGGAGUAACUGGACGCGAAAGCGUUGCUAAUACCGCAUACGACCUACGGGUGAAAGCAGGGGACCGCAAGGCCUUGCGUCGAUGGAGCGGCCGAUGCCGGAUUAGCUAGUUGGUGAGGUAAAGGCUCACCAAGGCGACGAUCCGUAGCUGGUCUGAGAGGACGACCCAGCCACACUGGGACUGAGACACGGCCCAGACUCCUACGGGAGGCAGCAGUGGGGAAUCUUGGACAAUGGGCGAAAGCCUGAUCCAGCAAUGCCGCGUGUGGGAAGAAGGCCUUCGGGUUGUAAACCACUUUUGGCGGGAAAGAAAUGGUCUGUGCUAAUACCACGGAUUGAUGACGGUACCCGCAGAAUAAGCACCGGCUAACUACGUG